AACGAACGCUGGCGGCAGGCCUAACACAUGCAAGUCGAACGCCCCGCAAGGGGAGUGGCGCACGGGUGAGUAACACGUGGGAACGUACCCUUCAUUACGGGACAACGUCGGGAAACUGACGCUAAUACCGUAUAAUGUCCCCGGACCAAAGAUUAUCGAUAAAGGACCGGCCCGCGCCUGUUUAGGUAGUUGGCGAGGUAAUGGCUCACCAAGCCGACGAUCAGUAGCUGGUCUUAGAGGAUGAUCAGCCACACGGGGACUAGACACGGCCCAGACUCCUACGGGAGGCAGCAGUGAGGAAUCUUGGACAAUGGGCGCAAGCCUGAUCCAGCCAUGCCGCGUGAGUGAUGAAGGCCUUAGGGUUGUAAAGCUCUUUUGCCGGGGAUGAUAAUGACCGUACCCGGAGAAUAAGCCACGGCUAAAUUCGUGCCAGCCGCCGCAGUAA
rnacentral:rRNA from 1 species